rnacentral:rRNA from 1 species
AUGCUUGUAGACGACCAGGUUCUCCUCCUUGGAGUGGCAGCACGGCUUCGACCCCUGCCAUGUUUCUGUGCCAGUGCUUGGCUAGCAGCUGCAUGGUGCGGGAAGUCCUCGUGCGGCACAUACCCCAAUGUCGUGCAACCACUUCAUGAUAAUGAUGAUGGGUCUGGCCUCGAGCAUGACACGGUAGGCAAUCCCCAGUCGGCCUACUGUACAAAACAUAUUUUAUUAGAACACUGGCAAAAAUUCAAGAUACAACAGUCCAUAGUCUAUUCAUUCCUUAAAACAAUUUUCCCUGAUAAAGACAAAUUGGAAGAUGCUGCCGCCACCAUGAGACCGGUGGGCAAAGGAACAUCCUUUCUGUUUGUGAUACAUGCUAAUAGAAUCAAGCACAAAAGCACUAUAUUAUGUGAUUUCGGGUCAAAGAAAAGGAUAUAUUUAUGA